rnacentral:rRNA from 1 species
AGCAGCCGCGGUAAUUCCAGCUCCAAUAGCGUAUAUUAAAGUUGUUGCAGUUAAAAAGCUCGUAGUUGAACCUUAGGCCCGCGCGGGCGGUCCGUCCUCAGGGCGAGCACUGCUCCGUCGCGGGUCUCACCUUCUGGCGAGCGUGGAUGCCAUUUAUUUGGUGUCCGCGGGAACCAGGACCUUUAUCUUGAAAAAUUAGAGUGCUCAAAGCGGGCUCUUGCGCUUGAAUACAUUAGCAUGGAAUAAUGAAAUAGGACGAUGGUUCUAUUUUGUUGGUUUCCGGGACCGUCGUAAUGAUUAAUAGGGAUAGUUGGGGGCAUUCGUAUUCAAUUGUCAGAGGUGAAAUUCUUGGAUUUAUUGAAGACGGACUACUGCGAAAGCAUUUGCCAAGGAUGUUUUCAUUAAUCAAGAACGAAAGUUGGGGGAUCGAAGACGAUCAGAUACCGUCGUAGUCUCAACCAUAAACUAUGCCGACUGGGAAUCGGACGAUGUUAUUUUUUGUGACUCGU